ACUGGGGACUCUCCCCCAACUUACCAGGCCCCAGAAGUUAUUUCCCAGGCAGCGUUUUGACCAAGAUUGACAGAAAAAACUCACUAAGGGAGCCCCAAGGAAAGAACUUCGGUGAGCAAGACUUGAGGAAGAGGGCGUUAGGCCGCUGUUGUCCAGGACACGUCAGUUACAUGUGAAUCCCUUCUGGCAAUUCAGCAAUAGCCAUUGUAACUUUCAGGUUUUUGAUGUGGUCUCCUUUUUGCAGACAAUAGAGUUAUAUCCUCUCUUACUUCUGAGGUCUGCUGCCUUGUGGCAGAAGUUGGUAAGGGGGCUUGCGACCACAUGGAAAUUUUCCACUUGGAAAUUCACACAUUGUUUCCUCUUGGUUUAUCGGUAGGCAGAAGUUACUACAUGGAGGGAGGGGGGAAACUGGUUUAACCUUGGCUGCUUGAUAGUGGAUCUGAAAGUCUAGUAUUGCAUGAGAAGUCCCUGCUAGAUAAAAUGUAAUAUUGGGGUCCCAUCUCCAGUGACUGUGGUUUAGUAGUUCCGGGUGGGCCUUGGCAGUAUACGUUUUUGAGCAAGCACCCCAAUAACUCUCAUAUGCAUGUUUCAAGACCUCGUGAUGUGGAGUACUGAUCUAGGUCCUCUUAGAACAGGAUGGAAGUUUGCUGAAGCGGGGACAAGAUUGGCCAUUGUGAAUGAUACUAACAUUGUGAUUAAGAGAACAAAUGUCUCUUUAGAUCUAAAGUCCUAAGCUUUUUGUCUUAGGCUGAAUUCCCCAGGAGGAGAGCCUAGACUGGUAUUUGGGUGUAUGUGAUGCAUUGGCGUGGUCUCAGGAAAAAGAUUAUAAAGGAAGUAGGAGAGCGCAAAGUAAGGCCCUAAGCAAGGGUGUGGGUUCAGCCGGAGGCUAGCUUUACUCGGAUCCCACAGGGAGCUCUGCGCGUGAGUUGUACCACAUGGCAUAUCCCACCCUGAGGAAAGAAGGCUAGCUUUUGGUACCUUUUGACAGCCAGUCACUGGCUGUGAGCUACCCUGGGAUGGGAGAUAGAAUCUUCUGGAUGAGCAGAGGGCAGAUCUCCAGGGAGAAGGCCUCUGUUGCCAUUAGCAACCAACCCUCAUGGCCACUGGGGAAUGGAUGCACCAGCCAGGUAAAAGGGACCGAGAAGAGUCACCAACAGCAUCCAUUGUGUUAUGACACCGUAGUGUCACAUGAGAGGCAUUUCACACUAUGGCUCCUGUUCUUGGUCACCCUGGCCACUCUUGCUGCUAUAAGCUUGCUACUCUUAAGUUUUUUGUUUGUUUGUUAUCAUUACAAGGGAAAACAUGGAUAGCAAAAAUAUUUGGCUUUUUGCUUUUUAGUAUUUCCCUUCUUGUGCUUUAGUAAAAAUUGUCAUCCUGCAGCAAAGUGUAGAUAAUAUGGCAGCAUCCUUUGUCAAUUUUGUCUCCUCACUUGAAGAAACAAUGACUUUGAAUACUGAAUUAUGGGUCCUUAGGCUGUAGUGAAAUCUUAAUGUGCUUUACUCAAAACUUCCUUUGCAGAUGAGUCCGUCUCACGCUUCUUGUAAUGAGAUUGCUCGUGGGGGAUGUUCGUUUGUUUAGGACUUUCUGUGAGAAAUAUGCUGUUCUGGAGACUAUUGAACUGGUUGUCAUUGGUUACUUGGCUUUAUUAAAUAAAACAGCCUCUUCUCAACUACCUUCUGUGGAACAUUAGUGUCUUUUGUACUGUAUUCUAUAGGAAAUAAGUCCUAUGGUCAAAUAAUUUUGGAGGGGAGGUGUUCUGUAUACUGUUUCCUUCUAGGAGAUUCACAGAGCACUUUGGCCUGUUAGAAGGUUCUCCAGACCCUGCAGGAAAGAAAACUGUUUACUCUUGCUUGGCUGAUCGAUUCUCAAACCUACCUGCUCAUGGAGAUGCUUGUCAUCACUGCCUCCCUCCUUUUUAUUUUUUCAGAAUACACAUUACCAGUUUACAGGACUAAUGUUCCAUAGUACACAGUUUGGAGAAUACCGAAAUGAAACUUUAUUCCUCAUCAUGUAUUACCAGGGCUUUCUGAGCAGCGAAGAACCAGUUCCACUCUUUUAUGUUGUAAAACCGGUCUCGACGCCUUAUCUACAUGCAAGGCAGGUGCAAAGCAGAUUUGGGGAUCAAAGUAGUCUCUGGAGAAAAAGGAUAGGUUAUUUGUUUGUCAUGCUGAAGGGGCUGUAAAAACAGUAACAUACUUAAUGAGGCUUCACUAUGGAUAUAUUAGUCUCCAUAAAACAUUUUAUUUAGCCUAACCUACAAUUACUUAAUGGCCAGUGAGUUUCAUAAACAGCUAGUCCCCAGCCUCAAACAUAUAUUAAGUGUCUGUUCUUUUGUGGAGUGAGUUUGCCAGGGAGAGUCAUGCAAGAUUAAAAAGAUAGAACAUUAAAAAUUCAGCCAAGACACACCAGGGCUGCCCUGAUGAUAACAACUACGGUGUGAUGUUUCUCAGUUCAUAUGGAUUCCCCAUACUGUUCUCAGUAGAAGAUAACCCUGCUAUUGCCCAAUACUCUUUCAUUAAAAAAUUAUUUGCACAGUCAUGGGUGUAUGGCAUUUCCUUUUUUGCUUAAGACAGACCCUCGGUGAGUUGAAUUUUUCUAAGGAAUUUUGAAUUGUAAGAGACAGAAAUGAAUGAAUAUUUAUUUAGAGGAAAAAUAUUGAGUCCUUACAUUUCCUACAGCACUUUGAAGUUUGCAGAGGGCUCCCUUCCCCCUUCCUCAACUAUCACUUUUGUACUUAAACAAAACCUCUGUGAGACAGUAGUAUUACCAGCACCACAAAAGUAGCAGAGGACUCUUGGAAAGCUGGCCAGAGCAGCCUUACAGAAUUCAGAAGCUUUAUUUACAUUCACCUGAACCGUUAUCCUAACUUCCUUCCUUCCUACUUAGUUAUGUUCAAUCAACUUAUCAUCUAGACUCAGCCACGAGCUUACUGUGUGUCCUGAUCCAUUGCUUAGCAAUCGUUCCCUCUUGGAUCAUGAGAGGUGGUAAGUUUCUAGGAUAUGUGUGUGAGUGCAUAUGUGUGCAAAUGUGUAGGAAUUGGUGAGGGAUGAAGGACUCAGAGAUCAUCUUUAGACAGAGUCCUGUGUUCCCCACCCAGGCGUGUGGAUUUUCUCUAGUAAGAAGGGUGAGGAGGCUAGGAUCUCGGAUGCCUUGGGCAACGUGGAAGAGGGCUUGGUACAGCAGAGGCUGUUACGGUGAAUAUGGGGGUCAGAGGAUGAAGGUCUGGGAAAUGGAUGGAGCCAAGGCAAUGGAGGGGAUUCCUGAGGUGGAACUGACCAGUCUUGGAGGUAAGGGAGAUACAGCAACUCAAGAUAUUGAUGAGGCGUCUAAUAGAGGUGGCCAAUAGUGCUGUUAUCAGAGAAGAGAACAAGAGGGAGACAACUGGGGUGGUAGCCUAGGGGGCGGCGGCGGGAGAGUUGAAACGAUAGAAGCCACUUUAGGAUGUGAUGAGCUUGAAGUGAAAUGUUUAGGUAGCUUGAAGUAGCCAUCCACAUUACAGAGAAAGAGAACAAAACCUGAGAUUUAGAGUUAAUGCUCGACAGUGUGUAAAGACCUGGACGCACAGACCAAAGCAUCUAGGAAGAGGGUGGCACCAGAUUGAAUCAGCCCACAUGACUCACACAUGUUAGAAAUGUCAUAUGUAUAUAUAUAUAUAUGUAUUUGGUCUUUUUUUUUGCCAUUUCUUGGGCCGCUCCUGCGGCAUAUGGAGGUUCCCAGGCUAGGAGUCGAAUCGGAGCUGUAGCCACUGGCCUACACCAGAGCCACAGCAACGCAGGAUCCGAGCCACGUCUGUGACCUACACCACAGCUCACGGCAAUACCAGAUCCUUAACCCACUGAGCAAGGCCAGGGAUCGAACCCGCAACCUCAUGGUUCCUAGUCAGAUUCGUUAACCACUGUGCCACAAUGGGAACUCUGGAAAUGUCAUAUGUUUUUACAACGUGUAAGGCAACUCCAUUUCAUACCGAGCACUCCUCCUUGUAGUCUGGGGGAAAACCUAAUUUCGUAUCUUUGAUUUUCCCUUCCUGAGGCAGUGCUGAGACAUCAGGAUGCAGAGUGGUGAUCUGGUCCUUGGUCACCUGUUGGGUAGGUUAUUUGCCAAGGCUUGCCAUCAUUCCUACUAGAUCCUUUUUCUCUGCCAUGGCUGUGCCAUGAGAUGCCACUUGUUGUUUUGUCUGAUGAGCUUCAGCUCCACCCAGCUCUUGGGCUUGGAGUUUUGCUGUCAACCUUUUGGGAGUGUGAGGGAAGCAUGGCUGCUCUGGGAUCCUUUGGUAUCGUUCGUCUUUCCUCUCUGAGUUUUAGCCCAGGGACCUCUCUUUCUAGGGCAGGGAAGGAAGAAAGGAUGAAGCGCCCUUCCUCUCGCUUCUCACAUACCCUCCCCUCUUCUCCCCCAAACCACCACUUCUCUUAAGGGCUUAAACAUGUUUGUGUGUGUGUGUGUGUGUGUGUGUGUGUGUGUGUUGGGGGAAAGGCAGACAGACUUGCUGGUUAUUUGCUUAUGGCCCUGAUGCAUGCCUCCUGGUAGCUGUGGAGGAUCACGAUGGCUACCACACUGAACUGGGAGGACGGAAACAAACAAAUACAGAUACAGAGAGAAACAAGAGUAAUAUCUGAAAAUACCAUCUAGCUACAGUGUUCAAGUAAGAGGAGAAACCAAGCAGGCUUUGGGCUACAGAGUAUAGAGACAAGAGAGAACAGGAAGAUGACAUCCAGGGAAGAAGCCAGAAAGCUCCCAGAGAAUGCAACAAAAAGCACCACUCUCAGGAUGUCGAGAUGCAAGACAUGGCCCCAGCUAUGAUGAUACCAGGACAUGCCAGAGGAGGGCAGGCGAGUCAUAGCCCGGGGCUUUAAAGUAAGCCUGUGGAGUUCCCAUUGUGGCUCAGAGGUAGCAAACAUGACUAGUAUCCAUGAGGACUCGGGUUUGAUCCCUGGCCUCGCUCAGCGGGUUAAGGGUCCAGUGUUGCUGGGAGAGCGUCAGUGUAGGUUGCAGAUGAGGCUUGGAUCCCAAAUUGCUGUGGCUGUGGCUGGCAGCUGCAGCUCCAAUUUGAUCCCUAGCCUGGGAAACUCCAUAUGCCAUAGGUGUAGCCCU
rnacentral:lncRNA from 1 species